rnacentral:rRNA from 1 species
CACCGCGGUUAGACGAAAGGCCCAAGUUUAUGGUAUACGGCGUAAAGAGUGGUUAAGGAUAAAACAAUUAUUUUAAAGCCAAAUGGCCCACUGGCUGUCAUACGCUUCCUGGCGUCCGAGGCCCAACAUAAAAAAUAGCUUUAAAACACCCGACCCCACGAAAGCUAAGAAA